rnacentral:rRNA from 1 species
AGAGUUUGAUCAUGGCUCAGGACGAACGCUGGCGGCGUGCCUAACACAUGCAAGUCGAACGGAAGUUAGAGCUUCGGUUUUAACUUUAGUGGCGAACGGGUGAGUAACGCGUGAGGAACCUGCCUUUCAGUGGGGGACAACAGUUGGAAACGACUGCUAAUACCGCAUGAUGCUUUUGGGAGACAUCUCCUGGAAGCCAAAGCUUUAUGUGCUGAAAGAUGGCCUCGCGUCUGAUUAGCUAGUUGGUGAGGUAACGGCUCACCAAGGCGACGAUCAGUAGCCGGUCUGAGAGGAUGAACGGCCACAUUGGGAACUGAGAUACGGCCCAGACUCCUACGGGAGGCAGCAGUGGGGAAUAUUGGGCAAUGGGGGAAACCCUGACCCAGCAACGCCGCGUGAAGGAAGAAGGCCUUCGGGUUGUAAACUUCUUUUACCAGGGACGGAGGACGUGACGGUACCUGGAGAAAAAGCAACGGCUAACUACGUGCCAGCAGCCGCGGUAAUACGUAGGUUGCAAGCGUUGUCCGGAUUUACUGGGUGUAAAGGGCGUGUAGGCGGAGAUGCAAGUUGGGAGUGAAAUCCAUGGGCUCAACCCAUGAACUGCUCUCAAAACUGUAUCCCUUGAGUAUCGGAGAGGCAAGCGGAAUUCCUAGUGUAGCGGUGAAAUGCGUAGAUAUUAGGAGGAACACCAGUGGCGAAGGCGACGGUCUGGGCCGCAACCGACGCUCAUUCCCGAAAGCGUGGGGAGCAAAUAGGAUUAGAUACCCUAGUAGUCCACGCCGUAAACGAUGGUCACUAAGUGUCGGGGGUCAAACCCCGGUGCUGCAGUCAACGCAAUAAGUGACCCGCCUGAGUAGUACGUUCGCAAGAAUGAAACUCAAAGGAAUUGACGGGGGCCCGCACAAGCGGUGGAGCAUGUGGUUUAAUUCGAAGCAACGCGAAGAACCUUACCAGGUCUUGACAUCGAUCUAAAAGGGACGGAGACAUCCUCAUAGCUAUAGAGAAGACAGGUGGUGCAUGGUUGUCGUCAGCUCGUGUCGUGAGAUGUUGGGUUAAGUCCCGCAACGAGCGCAACCCCUGUCGCCAGUUACCAUCAUUGAGUUGGGGACUCUGGCGAGACUGCCUCUGCAAGGAGGAGGAAGGCGGGGAUGACGUCAAAUCAUCAUGCCCCUUAUGACCUGGGCCACACACGUGCUACAAUGGACGGGACAGAGGGAAGCGAAGGCGCGAGCCGGAGCGGACCCCAGAAACCCGUUCCCAGUUCGGACUGCAGUCUGCAACUCGACUGCACGAAGCCGGAAUCGCUAGUAAUCGCGGAUCAGCAUGCCGCGGUGAAUACGUUCUCGGGCCUUGUACACACCGCCCGUCACACCAUGAGAGUUGGCAACACCCGAAGCCGGCGGCCCAACCCGCAAGGGAGGGAGCUGUCUAAGGUGGGGCUGAUGAUUGGGGUGAAGUCGUAACAAGGUA